AUUCAGCUGAUGAGCCCAAAAUAGGACGAAACGCGCCUUGUCAUGAAU
rnacentral:hammerhead_ribozyme from 1 species